UACAACUUUCAACAACGGAUCUCUUGGCUCUCGCAUCGAUGAAGAACGCAGCGAAAUGCGAUAAGUAAUGUGAAUUGCAGAAUUCAGUGAAUCAUCGAAUCUUUGAACGCACCUUGCGCUCCUUGGUAUUCCGAGGAGCAUGCCUGUUUGAGUGUCAUG
rnacentral:rRNA from 1 species